GACGUAGGGGGCGAGCGUUGUCCGGAAUCAUUGGGCGUAAAGAGCUCGUAGGCGGUUCAGUAAGUCAGGUGUGAAAGCUCCGAGCUCAACUCGGAGAGGCCACCUGAUACUGCUGUGACUAGAAUCCAGUAGGGGAGUGUGGAACUCCUGGUGUAGCGGUGAAAUGCGCAGAUAUCAGGAAGAACACCAGCGGCGAAGGCGGCACUCUGGGCUGGAAUUGACGCUGAGGAGCGAAAGUGUGGGUAGCAAACAGG
rnacentral:rRNA from 1 species